rnacentral:rRNA from 1 species
UACGUAGGUCGCAAGCGUUGUCCGGAUUUACUGGGCGUAAAGAGCGCGCAGGCGGCUGGUCAAGUCCGAUGUGAAAUCUCCCGGCUCAACUGGGAAACUGCAUCGGAAACUGAUCGGCUUGAAGAUGGGAGAGGGUAGUGGAAUUCCCGGUGUAGUGGUGAAAUGCGUAGAUAUCGGGAGGAACACCAGUGGCGAAGGCGACUACCUGGCCCAUUCCUGACGCUGAGGCGCGAAAGCUAGGGGAGCGAACGGG